rnacentral:rRNA from 1 species
GGGUUGUGAGGUUAAGCGACUAAGCGUACACGGUGGAUGCCCUGGCAGUCAGAGGCGAUGAAGGGCGUGCUAAUCUGCGAUAAGCGCCGGUAAGGUGAUAUGAACCGUUAUAACCGGCGAUACCCGAAUGGGGAAACCCAGUGUGACUCGUCACACUAUCAUUAACUGAAUCCAUAGGUUAAUGAGGCGAACCGGGGGAACUGAAACAUCUAAGUACCCCGAGGAAAAGAAAUCAACCGAGAUUCCCCCAGUAGCGGCGAGCGAACGGGGAGGAGCCCAGAGCCUGAAUCAGCAUGUGUGUUAGUGGAAGCGUCUGGAAAGGCGCGCGAUACAGGGUGACAGCCCCGUACACAAAAGCGCAUGUGCUGUGAGCUCGAUGAGUAGGGCGGGACACGUGGUAUCCUGUCUGAAUAUGGGGGACCAUCCUCCAAGGCUAAAUACUCCUGACUGACCGAUAGUGAACCAGUACCGUGAGGGAAAGGCGAAAAGAACCCCGGCGAGGGGAGUGAAAAAGAACCUGAAACCGUGUACGUACAAGCAGUGGGAGCACCCUUUGGGGUGUGACUGCGUACCUUUUGUAUAAUGGGUCAGCGACUUAUAUUCUGUAGCAAGGUUAACCGAAUAGGGGAGCCGGAGGGAAACCGAGUCUUAAUUGGGCGUUAAGUUGCAGGGUAUAGACCCGAAACCCGGUGAUCUAGCCAUGGGCAGGUUGAAGGUUGGGUAACACUAACUGGAGGACCGAACCGACUAAUGUUGAAAAAUUAGCGGAUGACCUGUGGCUGGGGGUGAAAGGCCAAUCAAACCGGGAGAUAGCUGGUUCUCCCCGAAAGCUAUUUAGGUAGCGCCUCGUGAAUUCAUCUCCGGGGGUAGAGCACUGUUUCGGCUAGGGGGCCAUCCCGGCUUACCAACCCGAUGCAAACUGCGAAUACCGGAGAAUGUUAUCACGGGAGACACACGGCGGGUGCUAACGUCCGUCGUGAAGAGGGAAACAACCCAGACCGCCAGCUAAGGUCCCAAAGUCAUGGUUAAGUGGGAAACGAUGUGGGAAGGCCCAGACAGCCAGGAUGUUGGCUUAGAAGCAGCCAUCAUUUAAAGAAAGCGUAAUAGCUCACUGGUCGAGUCGGCCUGCGCGGAAGAUGUAACGGGGCUAAACCAUGCACCGAAGCUGCGGCAGCGACACUCAGGUGUUGUUGGGUAGGGGAGCGUUCUGUAAGCCUGCGAAGGUGGCCUGUGAGGGUUGCUGGAGGUAUCAGAAGUGCGAAUGCUGACAUAAGUAACGAUAAAGCGGGUGAAAAGCCCGCUCGCCGGAAGACCAAGGGUUCCUGUCCAACGUUAAUCGGGGCAGGGUGAGUCGACCCCUAAGGCGAGGCCGAAAGGCGUAGUCGAUGGGAAACGGGUUAAUAUUCCCGUACUUGGUGUUACUGCGAAGGGGGGACGGAGAAGGCUAUGUUGGCCGGGCGACGGUUGUCCCGGUUUAAGCGUGUAGGUGUGUGUUCCAGGUAAAUCCGGUUCACUUUAACACUGAGGCGUGAUGACGAGGCACUACGGUGCUGAAGCAACAAAUGCCCUGCUUCCAGGAAAAGCCUCUAAGCAUCAGGUAACAUCAAAUCGUACCCCAAACCGACACAGGUGGUCAGGUAGAGAAUACCAAGGCGCUUGAGAGAACUCGGGUGAAGGAACUAGGCAAAAUGGUGCCGUAACUUCGGGAGAAGGCACGCUGACACGUAGGUGAAGUGAUUUACUCAUGGAGCUGAAGUCAGUCGAAGAUACCAGCUGGCUGCAACUGUUUAUUAAAAACACAGCACUGUGCAAACACGAAAGUGGACGUAUACGGUGUGACGCCUGCCCGGUGCCGGAAGGUUAAUUGAUGGGGUCAGCGCAAGCGAAGCUCCUGAUCGAAGCCCCGGUAAACGGCGGCCGUAACUAUAACGGUCCUAAGGUAGCGAAAUUCCUUGUCGGGUAAGUUCCGACCUGCACGAAUGGCGUAAUGAUGGCCAGGCUGUCUCCACCCGAGACUCAGUGAAAUUGAACUCGCUGUGAAGAUGCAGUGUACCCGCGGCAAGACGGAAAGACCCCGUGAACCUUUACUAUAGCUUGACACUGAACAUUGAGCCUUGAUGUGUAGGAUAGGUGGGAGGCUUUGAAGUGUGGACGCCAGUCUGCAUGGAGCCGGCCUUGAAAUACCACCCUUUAAUGUUUGAUGUUCUAACGUGGACCCGUGAUCCGGGUUGCGGACAGUGUCUGGUGGGUAGUUUGACUGGGGCGGUCUCCUCCUAAAGAGUAACGGAGGAGCACGAAGGUUGGCUAAUCCUGGUCGGACAUCAGGAGGUUAGUGCAAUGGCAUAAGCCAGCUUGACUGCGAGCGUGACGGCGCGAGCAGGUGCGAAAGCAGGUCAUAGUGAUCCGGUGGUUCUGAAUGGAAGGGCCAUCGCUCAACGGAUAAAAGGUACUCCGGGGAUAACAGGCUGAUACCGCCCAAGAGUUCAUAUCGACGGCGGUGUUUGGCACCUCGAUGUCGGCUCAUCACAUCCUGGGGCUGAAGUAGGUCCCAAGGGUAUGGCUGUUCGCCAUUUAAAGUGGUACGCGAGCUGGGUUUAGAACGUCGUGAGACAGUUCGGUCCCUAUCUGCCGUGGGCGCUGGAGAACUGAGGGGGCUGCUCCUAGUACGAGAGGACCGGAGUGGACGCAUCACUGGUGUUCGGGUUGUCAUGCCAAUGGCACUGCCCGGUAGCUAAAUGCGGAAGAGAUAAGUGCUGAAAGCAUCUAAGCACGAAACUUGCCCCGAGAUGAGUUCUCCCUGAGACUUAGAGUCUCCUGAAGGAACGUUGAAGACGACGACGUUGAUAGGCCGGGUGUGUAAGCGCAGCGAUGCGUUGAGCUAACCGGUACUAAUGAACCGUGAGGCUUAACCUUACAACGCCGAAG